CUGAACUGUUGUUACUUCUUCCUUAGAUUCCCUGGCAGGAGACUAUGACCUUGAAAGAAAGGAUUAUUUAUCAAUUCUGAAGGUCCAAGAUUCUGAAUGUCUACCAACUUCUGAGAUAAUGGCAAAGCUGCUGAUCCAUGGACCACAUUUGGAAAACCAAAAAGGCCACAAGAUGGUUGUAGAAGCUUCAAAAUGUCCUCACAUUCCAAAACCUACAGCAAGAAGGCAGCUGGCAGUCAAGUACCAGGGAAAUGACACACUGCUGAAAGAAUUAGAUCCAUCUUCAUGGAGUUAAGGUCCCUUAAUUAAUGGGUGAAAUGGUUGGCAAAAUCUUCACAGAAGAGGUGAAUAAGCUUAUAUUGGCAGAAGCAUAAGGAGGAUUCAUGAGUGAGCUGAUUGGCAAUUCAGAAGGGAUCUGAUGAGAUCCAUGGUUGAAGAUCUUCCAACUUUUCUUAGGUGGUCGAACACUGAACCUGAUUCCUUCAGAGAAAGG
ensembl:lncRNA